UUCGGCGCCAUUUUCGAGUGAGCGACGAUCACCCGCGCAGGCACAGAGCUUACCGCGUUUAGAGCGAGGAUGCUGCGGGUGGAGAGACGCUGAAGAGCCGCUCUUCUUCGUGUUGUUUUUCGGUCGGACGGAGCGAUACUCAAUAAAACUAAGGAGAGAGGAGGGACAGUCGCCCCCAACUGAGAGACAGCAAAAUGGACUCCCAAGCCCCCUCCCACCACCACCACCACCCUUGUUUCCUGGUAAACUGUGUGCCUUCUACUGCUGCUACUACUUCAUGCUCACAUGUGUUGUACACUCCACCCCCUUAACUCGUCUUUUUGAACCACUCAGCACAAACUUCAAAGUGCGUGCGCGCGUGUGUGUGUGUGUGUGUGUUUGUUUCACGGUCUUGUCAGUUGUCCUCAUGUAGCGUGACUACCAGUUAAAGCUGUCACAUGUGCAGUAAUCGUGUCAAUAGUGCAGGCAGUGUAUACAUUUAAAUGUUAGGAUUGUGUAGUAGACAUGAUUGUAUCCCUUUAUCAUGCAUCUUGCUUAUAUCCAUUAUUAAUAUUAAAAAGAUUGUGGAAACAUGAUAUAAUGUGCUUUUCUGAGAAGAGAAUAAGAGCAUGUGCUGUAAACAAGGUCAACAUGAUGAAACCUUCCAAAGUCUAAAAAUGAAAUCUAAAAACUGCCAUUGUAGUUGUAGUAGUGCCACACACUGUCUUCUUGUGCCGUAUUUCUGGUUAUUUUUAUUUUGAAAAAAUAGUAGUGCAUGUGCUAAACUUGUCAUUGCUUAUUUUUAUUCAUUCUUGUUUUUUGUUGGACUAGAUUUGUUAUUGAUUGAUUUGAUGUGGUUGUCAUUUUUACAUAUUUUUUGUGAGAGAGUACCUGUAUUGUGAUGAUUUUGCUUUUGCUUAUUUGUAUUUGUUUUAUUUCAUUUUGGUGCAGGAACACAUUUGCUUUGAUUGAAAUUGUUUUUAUGUAUUUUUAUUUUAUAUACAUUUUUUUUGAGGGGAGAGAGCGUGAUUUGUGGAAUUCUGCUUAAUUUUGAGAGAGAACAUAUUGUGUUGUUAUUUUUAAUACACGGUGUACACUACUUGUGAAAGAGUUUUGAUAUCUAAUGGUUUUAUGUAUUCUUAGUUAUUGUGACUGGUGUUUCUGUUUUUUUUCUUUUCUGUGGGAAAAUACACUUGUGGAUUAUAUGCUUCUAUUUAAAAAAAAAAAAAGUAAUAGUAUGAAAAAUAUAAUUAUUUUCAUGUUAUGAUUUAUGCACACCAAGUAAUUUUUUGAAUUUAUAUUUUUUUUGUUGUAGUGGCAAUACAGCCUGGGAGUACUGUA